AGUAGGUGUUGAAAUUUUAUGUUGGUGUUCCUCCUUCCUUCAUGACACCAACAACAUCUCGGAAAUUUCCUUUGUCACCAACUGUAAGAGCUCUAUUUGCUUUGAUAGUCUUGACAACCCAUAACCUAAUUUUGAAUUUCAUUGAUGUGCCGGUUAGGGUUUGUCACUUUUCACAUCAGGGUGUUGGUGAACCAAUUCUCCUUCCUUAUGUGCCUCCUAGUACCAAAAAUUUUAUC
rnacentral:lncRNA from 1 species